GACGAACGCUGGCGGCGUGCUUAACGCAUGCAAGUCGAACGGAAAGGCCCUGCUUUUGUGGGGUGCUCGAGUGGCGAACGGGUGAGUAACACGUGAGUAACCUGCCCUUGACUUUGGGAUAACUUCAGGAAACUGUGGCUAAUACCGGAUAGGAGCUCCUGCUGCAUGGUGGGGGUUGGAAAGUUUCGGCGGUUGGGGAUGGACGCGCGGCUUAUCAGCUUGUUGGUGGGGUGGUGGCUUACCAAGGCUGUGACGGGUAGCCGGCCUGGGAGGGUGGCCGGCCACAUUGGGACUGAGAUACGGCCCAGACUCCUACGGGGGGCAGUAGUGGGGAAUAUUGCACAAUGGGCGGAAGCCGGAUGAAGCAACGCCGCGUGCGGGAUGACGGCCUUCGGGUUGUAAACCGCUUUAGCCUGUGACGAAGCGUGAGUGACGGUAAUGGGUAAAGAAGCACCGGCUAACUACGUG
rnacentral:rRNA from 1 species